CUUCAUAAGCUAACUGAGGGCAUAUGAAGUGCACGUGACAGUCUAUGGCGCCUGCAGUCACAAUCAUUCCUUCCCCAGCAAUGACCUCAGUGUUAACCUAAGUAAUAAAGAAGAAGGUGCAAAGCAUUAUUGACUUCCUGAUCAGUUUUCUUCCCAAACUUCUGUAAUAUGAGAUGAUAUUUACCCCAAUGGUCAUAUUUACACCAUCCUUAACAUCUGGAUUGCCUGAUUUUCCAACGGCAAAUAUAUUACCCUCUUUGAUACCAAUAUCUGCCUUAAAGAUCCCGCUAUAAUCAAUGAUCACAGCAUUGGUUAUAACAGUAUCCAACGAAUUGGCUGGUUGGUUCCCAGAUGACUGGCCCAUUCCGUCUCUUACA
rnacentral:sRNA from 1 species